rnacentral:rRNA from 1 species
AACGAACGCUGGCGGCAUGCCUAACACAUGCAAGUCGAACGAGACCUUCGGGUCUAGUGGCGCACGGGUGCGUAACGCGUGGGAAUCUGCCCUUGGGUUCGGAAUAACAGUUGGAAACGACUGCUAAUACCGGAUGAUGACGUAAGUCCAAAGAUUUAUCGCCCAAGGAUGAGCCCGCGUAGGAUUAGCUAGUUGGUGAGGUAAAGGCUCACCAAGGCGACGAUCCUUAGCUGGUCUGAGAGGAUGAUCAGCCACACUGGGACUGAGACACGGCCCAGACUCCUACGGGAGGCAGCAGUGGGGAAUAUUGGACAAUGGGCGAAAGCCUGAUCCAGCAAUGCCACGUGAGUGAUGAAGGCCUUAGGGUUGUAAAGCUCUUUUACCCGGGAUGAUAAUGACAGUACCGGGAGAAUAAGCUCCGGCUAACUCCGUG